AGUUCAAAAUUUUGAUUAAUAUGGGAUUGGUCAUUGUUGUGAAGAUUAGGUUGCGUAUAAAACUUGAUGUUUAGCGCAAUUGAUCAUGGUGUUGUUUCCACAAACUAUAAUAUAGUAAUAUGUACGUACAAAAAGACACGAUGCCGACUGAUGAUGUCGGCGACGAUCGAAAGCUAUGACUGGUAUACACGUUUAUAAUAAAGUGUUUUUUAAAACAGUAGUUCCUGGCCCCAUUUGAUUCAUACUUCUCUCUACAAAUAUGCUACUGAAGGGCAACUAUAUCCGUUCGAAUAACCAAG